AGUGAACGCUGGCGGUAGGCCUAACACAUGCAAGUCGAACGGCCGCACAGUAAGAUCUUGCUCUUACGGGUGGCGAGUGGCGGACGGGUGAGGAAUACAUCGGCAUCUACUUUUUCGUGGGGGAUUACGUAGGGAAACUUACGCUAAUACCUCAUACUACCUACGGCUUAAAUCAGGAGAUCUUCGCACCUUGCGUGUUUGAUUGAGCCCAUGUCGGAUUAGCUAGUUUGCAAGGUAAGGUCGCACCAAGGCAACGAUGCAUAGCUGAUCUGAGAGGAUGAUCGGCAACACUGGAAAUGAGACAAGGUCCAGACUCCGACGGGAGGCAGCAGUAGGGAAUAUUACGCAAUGGGCGAAAGCCUGACGGAGCAACGCAGCGUGAGUGAUGAAGGUCUUCGGAUAGUAAAACUCUGUUAUUAGGGAAGAACAUAUGUGUAAGUAACUGUGCACAUCUGGACGGGACCUAAUCAGAAAGCCACGGCUAACUACGUG
rnacentral:rRNA from 1 species